GCUAGUAAUCGCGGAUCAGCAUGCCGCGGUGAAUACGUUCCCGGGCCUUGUACACACCGCCCGUCAAACCAUGAGAGUUGGCAACACCCGAAGUCGGUAGUCUAACCGCAAGGAGGACGCCGCCGAAGGUGGGGUUGAUGAUUAGGGUUAAGUCGUAACAAGGUAUC
rnacentral:rRNA from 1 species